GACCUCCAGAAUUUUGAUGGUUCGCCAUGAAACAUCAAGUGGUAUCUAACUAUCCUCUGCAUGCUCCAAUCUACCUCAGACCUCACAUGAUUAAACACAGUCCUGUCCUGAUCACAUUUAUAGACUAAAAUACAUUCACAGCAUGUACCAUCGCGCCCCCUACAGCAUUUAAAAAAUAGCCUCCACAGAGACUUUCAGCUAGGACUAUGAAAUUUGGCAUGCAAAUGUAGCAUGUAAGUGCAAACAAAAAAGUCUCUUGGAGUCAUUCUCUAAACCCAACAGAAAGUCGGCCAUUUUUAAUUAAAUGUCAGAUUUUUGGUGUUUUUGGUCAUUUUCAAAAAUUCAUUUCUCACAGGCAAUAACUCCAAAACAUCUGAAUUUGGGAAAAUAUAUAAGACACGUCUUCAGGUUGCAUAUUUGCGAAAAUUGUUCAUAAAACUCUAAGGGCGUGGCCAUGGCGGGCAGCUGAAGUUUAAUGUUACGCCAUGAAGCAGGACGUCUUGUGUAAAUCCCCUGUACACGCUGCAAUCCGCCUCAAACUUUACAUGUUUGAUCAGAGUCCAGUCCUGAUGAGUUUCAUAGACCAACAUACAGUCACAGAGAUAGCGCCACCUGGUGGAUGGACACAAAGUGCUGCAUAAAUAGCCUGUACAUGCUCAAAUCUGCCUGAAAUUUGACCUGUGUGCUCAGAAUCCAGCCUUUGUGACAUUCAUGGGCCUAAAUACACUCUCAGUCGUAGCUUUGCCUGGUGGAGAUGCUUGGGGUCGCCGACCAGGAAGUAUGCGAGGACCCGUUCAACGCUGCUCGCAGCUUUAAUUAUUAUUAUUAUCCUGCCGAAAGAACUGCAUUUUUCAGGGCCUGAACAUGCUCGAAAAGUCAUGAAAAUUUGCACACACAUCAGAACUGGCGAAAAAUUUCAUAUUUUGUAGGGCAUGUGGAGAUGUGUGGCAAAAUGGCUCCAUAGCGCCCCCUACAAAAUUUUAAAAAGUGGUAUUAGGCCAACUCAGAGGACAUUUGGUCUAGAGCUACAAAAUUUGGGAGGCAUAUGCAGCACAUCAGGAAACACAAAAAAGUCAAUCACAGCCAUGCUCUAAACCCAACAGGAAGUGCGCCAUCAUGCGUUAACUGUACAAAAUCUAUGAUGAACUCCUCCUAGGGGGAAAGUCUUAGCGAUCUGAAAUUUGGCCAGAACAUACAUGAGGCCUUCCUGAGAAAAAGUUAUUAAAAUCUUCCUCCAUAGUCAAAGGGUGUGGUCGUGGCGGCCUGUCGUAAUUUGAUCCUUCGCCAUGAAACAGGAAAUGCUGUCUAACUCUCCUGAACAUGCUCCGAUCUGAAUGAAACUUUAUAUGUAUGAUCACAGACCUGCCUCGAUGACAUCCAUAUAGCAAGAUUCAUUCACAGUCACAGCGCCACCUUGUGGUAUCAAGAAUUUGACAUUUUUUACACUUUCAUGUACUAUUCUUAGCCUGUUGCUCAGAUUCACCUCAGAUGUGGCGACAUAAGCCUGAACACAUUGAUGAUGAAUCACAGAAAAAAUGGUGAUGUGUCAUAAAAAGGCGUGUCUGUGGCGGGACGGCAAAGUUUGAUGUUUCGCCAUGAAAAUUGAAGUGUUCAUAUCUCAGCUGCAAAGGAUCCUAUCUGCCCCAAACUUCAUGUGCUGGACACCAGAACCAGUUUGAGGACAUCCACACUGAAAAAUUUAGAAAAAGUCAUAGCGCCACCUAUUGGUAACAAGUAGUUUAGAAAUUACAUUUGCUUGCAUCAUUGCUCCAAACUUUGUCAUAUCCUUCUGGAAACUGGUCAGCUCAGUCUUCACCCCCUGACAAUGCCAAAGUGUGAAGAUUUUGGCAUUUGAUAAAAUGCUGUUGCCGUGGCAACGUUUUGUUGUUGUGACAAACAAAGUACUUUUUGACAGGCUUAGAAUGUUCAACAGCUCACCAAAAUUACCACACACAUCACUGUCGACCCAAGGAAGAACACGGUAUGCUUCUUGGAACUGUGCAUGCUAUAGCGCCCCCUACAGUAUGUUUAACAAACAGCCCUGGGAGCACGUUUCACAUACAUCCACAAAAUUUGAAAGGCAUAUAGAGCACACCAGGACACACAAAAAAGCCUCUUGGAGCCAUCCCCUAAACCCCACAGGAAGUCCGCCAUUUUGAAUUACGUGGAAAAAUUUUCUCUAUUUUUUUAAUUUUUGAGAGCGAACUCCUCCUUGGGGUUAAGGUCUAGAGAGCUGAAAUUUUGCCAAGAUAUACAACACAAUGUUAUGAUCAAAAGUUAUUAAAAGAUUCUUGCAGAGUCAAAGGGUGUGGACAUGGCGACCUCCAGAAUUUUGAUGGUUCGCCAUGAAACAUCAAGUGCUACCGAACUAUCCUCUGCAUGCUCCAGUCUACCUCAGACCUCACAUGAUUAAACACAGUCCUGUCCUGAUCACAUUUAUAGGCCAAAAUACAUUCACAGCAUCUACCAUAGCGCCCCCUGAAGCAUUUAAAAAAAUAGCCUCCACACAGACUUUCACCUAUGACUAUGAAAUUUGGCAUGCAUAUGUAGCACAUCAGUGCAAGCAAAAAAGUCUCUUGGAGUCAUUCUCUAAACCCAACAGAAAGUUGGCCAUUUUGAAUUAAAUGUCAGAUUUUUGGUGUUUUUGGUCAUUUUCAACAAUUCAUUUGUCACUGGCAAUAACUCCAAAACACCUGAAUUUGGGAAAAUAUAUAAGAAACGCCUUCAGGUUGCAUAUUUGCGAAAAUUGUUCACAAAACUCAAAGGGUGUGGCCAUGGCGGACAAAUGAACUUUAAUGUUACGCCAUGAAGCAGGACGUCUUGUGUAAAUCCCCUGUACAUGCUGUAAUCUACCUCAAACUUUACAUGUUUGAUCAGAGUCCAGUCCUGAUGAGUUUCAUAGACCACGAUACAGUCACAGAGAUAGCGCCACCUGGUGGAUGGACACAAAGUGCUGCAAAAAUAGUCUGUACAUGCUCCAAUCUGCCUGAAAUUUGACCUGUGUGCUCAGAAUCCAAUCUUUGUGACAUUCAUGGGCCUAAAUACAUUCUCAGUCAUAGCAUUGCCUGGUGGAAAUGCUUGGGGUCUCCGACCAGCAAGGAUGCGAGGACCCGUUCAACGCUGCUUGCAGCUUUAAUUAUUAUUAUUAUUAUUCUGCCAAAACAACUGCAUUUUUCAGGGCCUGAACAUGCUCGAAAAGUCAUGAAAAUUUGCACACACAUCAGAACUGGCGAAAAAUUUCAUAUUUUUUAGGGCAUGUGGAGGUGUGUGGCAAAAUGGCUCCAUAGCGCCCCCUACAAAAUUUUAAAAAGUGGUAUUAGGCCAACUCGGAGGGAAUUUGGCCGAGAGCUAAAAAAUUUGGGAGGCAUAUGCAGCACAUCAGGAAACACAAAAAAGUCAAUCACAGCCAUGCUCUACACCCAACAGGAAGUGCGCCAUCAUGCGUUAACUGUACAAAAUCUAUGAUGAACUCCUCCUCGGGGAAAAGUCUGAGCGAUCUGAAAUUUUGCCAGUACAUACAGCAGACCUUCCUGAGAAAAAGUUAUCAAAAUCUUCCUCCAUAGUUAAAGGGUGUGGUCGUGGCGGCCUGUCGAAAUUUGAUCCUUCGCCAUGAAACAGGAAAUGCUGUCUAACUCUCCUGAACAUGCUCCGAUCUGAAUGAAACUUUACAUGUAUGAUCACAGACCUGCCUCGAUGACAUCCAUACAGCAAGAUUCAUUCACAGUCACAGCGCCACCUUGUGGUAUCAAGAAUUUGACAUUUUUUACACUUUCAUGUACUAUUCUUAGCCUGUUGCUCAGAUUCACCUCAGAUGUUGUGACAUAAGCCUGAACACAUUGAUGAUGAAGCACAGAAAAAAUGGUGACGUGUGAUGAAAAGGCGUGUCUGUGGCGGGACGGCAAAAUUUGAUGUUUCGCCAUGAAAAUUGAAGUGUUCAUAUCUCAGCUGCAAAGGAUCCUAUCUGCCCCAAACUUCAUGUGCUGGACACCAGAACCAGUUUGAGGACAUCCACACUGAAAAAUUUAAAAAAAGUCAUAGCGCCACCUCUUGGUAACAAGCAGUUUAGAAAUUACAUUUGCACACAUCAUUGCUCCAAACUUUGUCAUAUCAUUCUGAAAAUUGGUCAGCUGAUUCAUCACACCCUGACAAUGCCAAAGUAUGAAGAUUUUAGCAUUUGAUAAAAUGCUGUUGCCGUGGCAACGUGUUGUUGUUGUGACAAACAAAGUACUUUUUGACAGGCUUAGAAUGUUCAACAGCUCACCAAAAUUUACACACACAUCACAGUCGUCUCAAGGAAUAACACUGUAUGCAUCUCUGCAGGGCAUGUGCUAUAGCGCCCCCUGCAGUAUGUUUAAUAAACAGCCCCCGCAGCAUGUUUCACCAACAUCCACAAAAUUUGGGAGGCCUAUAGAGCACACCAGGACACACAAAAAAGUCUCUUGGAGCCAUCCCCUAAACUCAACAGGAAGUCCGCCAUUUUGAAUUAAGUGGAUAAAAUUUCUGUAUUUUUUCAUUUUUGAGAGCGAACUCCUCCUCGGGGUUAAGGUCUAGAGAGCUGAAAUUUUGCCAGGAUAUACAACACGAUGUUAUGAUCAAAAGUUAUUAAAAGAUUCUUGCAGAGUCAAAGGGUGUGGACAUGACGACCUCCAGAAUUUUGAUGGUUCGCCAUGAAACAUCAAGUGCUACCUAACUAUCCUCUGCAUGCUCCAAUCUACCUCAGACCUCACAUGAUUAAACACAGUCCUGUCCUGAUCACAUUUAUUGGCCAAAAUACAUUCACAGCAUCUACCAUAGCGCCCCCUAAAAGAAUUUAAAAAAUAGCCUCCACACAGACUUUCACCUAUGACUAUGAAAUUUGGCAUGCAUAUGUAGCACAUCAGUGCAAGCAAAAAAGUCUCUUGGAGUCAUUCUCUAAACACAACAGAAAGUCAGCCAUUUUGAAUUAAAUGUCAGAUUUUUGGUGUUUUUGGUCAUUUUCAACAAUUCAUUUGUCACUGGCAAUAACUCCAAAACACCUGAAUUUGGGAAAAUAUAUAAGAAACGCCUUCAGGUUGCAUAUUUGCGAAAAUUGUUCACAAAACUCAAAGGGCAUGGCCAUGGCGGCCAACUGAACUUUAAUGUUACGCCAUGAAGCAGGACGUCUUGUGUAAAUCCCCUGUACAUGCUGUAAUCUACCUCAAACUUUACAUGUUUGAUCAGAGUCCAGUCCUGAUGAGUUUCAUAGACCACGAUACAGUCACAGAGAUAGCGCCACCUGGUGGAUGGACACAAAGUGCUGCAAAAAUAGUCUGUACAUGCUCCAAUCUGUCUGAAAUUUGGCCUGUGUGCUCAGAAUCCAGUCCUCGUUACAUCCAUGAGCCUAAAUACACUUUGUCGCAGCAUUGCCUGGUGGACAUGCUUGGGGUCGCCGACCAGCAAGUAUGCGAGGACCCGUUCAAUGCUGCUCGCAGCUUUAAUUAUUAUUAUAUUUGUCUCUCAGAACAACUGCAUUUUUGAGGGCCUAAACAUGCUCAAAAAGUCAUGAAAAUUUGCAAACACAUCAAAACUGGCGAAAAUUUUCAUAUUUUGUAGGGCAUGUGGAGGUGUGUGCAAAAAGGACUCCAUAGCGCCCCCUACAAAAUUUUAAAAAGUGGUAUUAGGCCAACUCAGAGGGAAUUUGGUCGAGAGCUACAAAAUUUGGGAGACAUAUGCAGCACAUCAGGAAACACAAAAAAGUCAAUGACAGCCAUGCUCUAAACCCAACAGGAAGUGUGCCAUCAUGCGUUAACUGUACAAAAUCUAUGAUGAACUCCUCCUAGGGGGAAAGUCUGAGCGAUCUGAAAUUUUGCCAGUUCAUACAGCCGGCCUUCCUGAGAAAAAGUUAUCAAAAUCUUCCUCCAUAGUUAAAGGGUGUGGUCGUGGCGGCCUGUCGAAAUUUGAUCCUUCGCCAUGAAACAGGAAAUGCUGUGUAACUCUCCUGAACAUGCUCCAAUCUGAAUGAAACUUUACAUGUAUGAUCACAGACCUGCUUCGAUGACAUCCAUAUAGCAAAAAUGAUUUACAGUCACAGCACCACCUUGUGGUAUCAAGAAUUUGACAUUUUUUACACUUUCAUGUACUAUUCUUAGCCUGUUGCUCAGAUUCACCUCAGAUGUUGUGACAUAACCCUGAACACAUUGAUGAUGAAUCCCAGAAAAAAUGGUGACGUGUCAUGAAAAGGCGUGUCUGUGGCGGGACGGCAAAGUUUGAUGUUUCGCCAUGAAAAUUGAAGUGUUCAUAUCUCAGCUGCAAAGGAUCCUAUCUGCCCCAAACUUCAUUUCCUGGACACCAGAACCAGUUUGAGGACAUCCACACUGAAAAAUUUUUAAAAAGUCAUAGCGCCACCUAUUGGUAACAAGCAGUUUAGAAAUUACAUUUGCACACACCAUUGCUCCAAACUUUGUCAUAUCAUUCUGAAAAUUGGUCAGCUGAUUCUUCACCCCCAGACAAUACCACAGUGUGAAGAUUUUGAUAUUUGAUGAAAUGCUGUUGCCGUGCCAACGCGUUGUUCUUGUGACAAACAAAGUACUUUUUGACAGGCUUAGAAUGUUCAUCAGCUCACCAAAAUUUACACACACAUCACAGUCGUCUCAAGGAAUAACACUGUAUGCAUCUCUGCAGGGCAUGUGCUAUCGCGCCCCCUGCAGUAUGUUUAAUAAACAGCCCCGGCAGCAUGUUUCACCUACAUCCACAAAAUUUGGGAGGCCUAUAGAGCACACCAGGACACACAAAAAAGCCUCUUGGAGCCAUCCCCUAAACUCAAAAGGAAGUCCGCCAUUUUGAAUUACGUGGAAAAAUUUUCUCUAUUUUUUAAUUUUUGAGAGCGAACUCCUCCUAGGGGUUUACUCCCAGAGACCUCAAAUUUUACCAGAGUAUACAACACGAUGUUAUGAUCAAAAGUUAUUAAAAGAUUCUUGCAGAGUCAAAGGGUGUGGACAUGGCGACCUCCAGAAUUUUGAUGGUUCGCCAUGAAACAUCAAGUGCAAUCUAACUAUCCUCUGCAUUCUCCAAUCUACCUCAGACCUCACAUGAUUAAACACAGUCCUGUCCUGAUCACAUUUACAGGCCAAAAUACAUUCACAGCAUGUACCAUAGUGCCCCCUAAAGCAUUUAAAAUAUAGCCUCCACACAGACUUUCACCUAGGACUAUGAAAUUUGGCAUGCAUGUGUCGCACGUCAGUGCAAGCAAAAAAGUCUCUUGGAGUCAUUCUCUAAACCCAACAGGAAGUUGGCCAUUUUGAAUUAAAUGUCAGAUUUUUGGUGUUUUUGGUCAUUUUCAACAAUUGAUUUCUCACAGGAAAUAACUCCAAAACACUUGAAUUUGGGACAAUAUAUACAACACGCCUUCAGGUUGCAUAUUUGUGAAAAUAGUUCACAAAACUCAAAGGGCGUGGCCAUGGCGGCCAACUGAACUUUAAUGUUACGCCAUGAAGCAGGAUGUCUUAUGUAAAUCCCCUGUACAUGCUGCAAUCUGCCUCAAACUUUACAUGUUUGAUCAGAGACCAGUCCUGAUUAGUUUCAUAGACCAAUAUACAGUCACACAGAUAGCGCCACCUGGUGGAUGGACAGAAAGUGCUGCAUAAAUAGCCUGUACAUGCUCCAAUCUGCCUGAAAUUUGACCUGUGUGCUCAGAAUUCAGCCUUUGUGACAUUCGUGGGCCUAAAUACACUGUCAGUCGUAGCAUUGCCUGGUGAAAAUGCUUGGGGCUGCCGACCAUCAAGGAUGCGAGGACCCGUUCAACGCUGCUUGCAGCUUUAAUUAGGGACCGAGCCAGCGAAUCGGGGGGCGGGGCGAGGUCCCGCCCAAUGCUGCUUGCAGCUUUAAUUAUUAUUAUUAUUAUUAUUAUUAUUAUUAUUCCCCGCACGUUUCCCUUAAUUUGACCCCCUAAACGUGCAUAACUUUUAUGAAAUUUGGCACGCACGUCGGGUCAUGCGAAAAUUUCAAUAUUCUGAAAACAAAUUCUGAUUAAACUCUAUAGCGCCACCUAGGGACACGAAAAUUUGAAAAAUCACAAAUAACCUCAGCUCUCUGCACACGAAUGUCGUAGAGACACGCAACCACCACUCACGCGUUCGUCAGCUCGAGCUCUAUGAAAACCUGUCUGCCCGAUUUGAGGCAUCUUCAAUCUAGGGGGCGCUAUAACCCAAAAUAUGAAAACCCUUUAAAGAUUAUCUCCUCUGAAACCGUACAAUAUUCUGGCUUCAUAUUUGGACAGAUUAUAGUGAAUAUCCAGCAAAACAAAAGUUAUCAAAAGAAAAAUGCUAACUUGUCUAGUUUUUCUUUUAUAAGCUAACAAAGUUUGUCUUCACCUGAAACCAUGUUUCGCUUCAAUUUGACCCCUUAAACGUGCAUAACUUUAUAUGAAAUUUUGCACGCACGUUCGACCGCUCGAGCUCUACGAAAACCUGUCCGAACGAUUUCAGUUGUCGUCAAUCUAGGGGGCGCUAUAACCCAAAAUAUGAAAACCUUUUUCUCCAAAGUGGCGUUACCUACACUGUACGAAAAAUGUCGGGGGAAAAUAGGGAAAUCACGACUGUCGAAUUCUUUGCAACCACGACUGACCUAUGGUCAAGCAGAACAAUGGAGCAGUUACCUGUCCUUGACAAUUCACUACAUUGACGGGAAUUUUCAAAUGAAGAGUCGGUGCUUGCAGAUUUGUCAUUUUUCCCCACAAGACCACACUGGAGAAGCUAUAGCUGAGGGACUGCAGGAGGCACUGGCUUCUUGGAGCCUGCAAGAGACUAGUCUGCAUCACAACAGACAGUGGCCCUAAUGUCGUCAAGGUAACUUCUCUAAAUAAAUGGACGAGACUUCAGUGCUUUGGCCAUAGGCUCCAUCUAGCAAUUGGUGAGUGGGACGAAUAAAAAAUACAAUUUAAAAAUUUACACAUAAUUGAAUUGUAUGUAAUAUAUGCUAAUAUAAUGGAGUGAAUGUCAAUGGAUGAAUUAUCAAAUGUUAUAUAAUAUGAAAAAAUGAUUGGAUGAAUAUGCAUAUAAUAUUAUAUUCUGUUUUAAUUUAACAUGAGUCUUAUGUUCUUUUAUAGAGAAUGCAAUGAGAGAUCCACGGAUUGACCAUGUGGUAGGCAUCUGCAAAAAACUUAUCAGCAGUUUCUCCCACAGUUGGAGGCGUAUAAAGGAGCUAGCACCAAUGAUUGCAAGAGUUCUGGAGCAGCAGAGGGCCAUUUCACAAGUCUUAUCUUCUGACCGAAAGUCAAGACACCUCAUCCCAACAUGGCAGGACAGUGACAUCCUGGAAGCCAUCAACAGAGCCCUCUACCUCUGAUUGAGUUUACUGAUGCACUGUCCAGUGAGAAGUAUGUCAGUGUUUCUUUUGUGAAGCCAGUCCUCCACCUGUUCAGCUCCUCCAUCCUCAAAGUAAGUGAUGAUGUUCCAGACCUGACCAACACUAUCAAAACCAAAAUCCUCACUUACUUGGAGGAAAAAUACAAGGAUCCAGAGACACAAGAACUGCUUGAUAUGGCCUCUACCCUUGAUCCACGCUUCAAGCUGAGAUACAUCAGUGAAGACAGGACUGCAUCAAUCCAGGAGAAGGGCCCAGUAGAUUCAUGUGGAGGGACUGCAGAGGAUGCACCCAGGACAUCAAAGAAAAAGAAGACCUUGGGGAACUUCUUCAAGGUCACUGGGACAGCCACACCAAGAUCCUCUCCUGACCAGGAACAACAGGCUGCUGAAUCUGAGCUUAGGUCUUACCUACAGUGUACCAACCUUGACAGUGAAAAGGACCCGCUGGACUGGGGGAAGGAACAUCAGAAACUCUACCCACGACUUUUCGAAGCUGGCAAAAAAGUACCUGCCCAUUCCUGCAACAAGUUCCACAUCAGAGAGGGUCUUUAGUGUUUUCCCCCCCACAGAAUCCUACCGUUGAAACACGACAAGAAUGUGUUGUCAAAGCACUUUGUGUGUGCCUCAAUGAAAAUCAUGAAAAGUUCAUGAUUUUGUGAUGCUGAACCUGGUGCAAUGAGAGCAAUGGAGGAAAAAGUCAUGGAAAUCUGUUAUCCGACAUGACGGAGCAGAGCCCACAGACCCGCCUGAGGAUGUUGGCAUCAUCAUCGAGGGAAUUGAAGUGUUGCAAGAUCUGAGAGAUAUGGCAAAUGGGUGUGCAGCCCUGUUUGGACCCAUCUACAGUUUAAACCUCAGCUACCCAAAAGACCUGAGAUACACGUUUGAAUUUUUUCAGAAAGUUUUAAUGGACUUGGAUUGCAACAGACUUUCCACAAACAAAGCUGAAGAUCCUCAAGAACCGAUAACAUGAGUAAUUCUGCCUGCACCAUGACUGCCUGGUCUCCAAAUUCAGAGCCACUGCAGUAUCACGGGUCAGAGAUCUCAUGUCUGUCUUCCCUCUCACUGUGACUUUGACUGAAGUGACUAUUGCAUUUAUAACUGAGAAAACUGUACUGGCACUUAUAGUGUGUCUGUACCCUGUAACAGGGUGUCUUCACUUUGGGAUGCAGUUUUUUUUUUUUUUUAAACCCGUUUUCCUAAGCAUAGAAUUUGUUCUGCCCCUGCCUCUCCCAGGAAACAACUUGGACUUGGACUUACAGCUACAAACUGUGGCUGAUUGAUGGGAUUGACAAACUGUGAUGGGAGUUACUGGUUCUUAUAGUUGUUUCAUGUUGAGCAUUAAUACAUUUGAUAUGUUUUAUUUUUGUAACUCUCAAGUGGUAAUUGUUUCUGCAGAGAAGUUUGGUAAAUAUUCAAGUAUUAAUGUUUUCUCCAAUGUUUACGACAGUGUUAUUCAGGCAUGACUAGUUUAUUUUAAAGGAACCAAGGGUAUUAUCAGUUUUUGAAGCUUGAUUGUUAUUUUCUAUCAUUUUUCUCAAUUUAUUGAAUGUUUUAAGUGCAAAACACUAAAUUGUAUAGUUGUGUUUAUAAUGGUUUAUUUGCUGUUUCUUCGUUUGGAGAAUUUUUAACGUAAUAUCAGAUGUAUAAUAUGAAACAAUAGUAAUUUAGAAAAUUAAGGUUUUCUCCAAUUUAUUUAUGUUUGAGAUAAUGUUAUUCAGGGAUGACUAGUGCACUUCAAAGGAACCAAGAGUAAUGAUUUGAAGCUCAGUCAUUAUGUGUACUUGUCUUUUUAUUUUUUCUCAAUUUAUUUUCUCAAAUUUAUUUUUUAAACAGCAAUGUGCUAAGCAGUGAAUACUGUUGUUUACAGCAGUUUAGUUUAGAUGGAGCAGCUUAGACCUGACUCUACUCCAGCCAGUGGCCUGCGUCUGCUGCUGUGAUGCCAGUCCAGAUGCCAAGUUUUAAAAUGCACCACUACACUUUCAUUCACUGUUGUGUUUUGUAAUUCUUUUCGCUAUCUUUAAUUAUCUUGAUGUCUGCCCAUUCAGUGUAGCUCCACUCGGGUCAAUUCAAAGUUUGGGGUGGUCUCUGGCUCCCUCUAGUGUGGGCUGGGUUUGACCUCGGUUUUAGUGGUCUUUAGUGUGCAGUGCAGUGGCACGGUAUUUGUGUGCAGUGUGAUUUUGUAAGGGUCUUGUGUGCCCACGGGGCUGGGGGUGGGGCCACCCGGGCCAGGAGUGGGGAUUCCUGUAGGGAUUCCCUUGAACUGCUGGUGCCAGCCAUCAUUUUAUGUGUUCCUAAUAAAGUUUGAAUAGUUGCAUCCUUCUGCUCCUUGUCCUUCUGAGCUUUACUGGGUUAAAAAAAAAAGGUGUUGGCAGCAAAAACUCACGCUACAGUAAAAUAUAGACUGCCAUUCACAAAGUUUCUUAUUUUAUAUUAUUUAUUUUAUUUUUCUUAUUUCUAUUUUAGCAGUAAUACGUGGUUCUGUAUCUCAGCCUCCACGGUGACGGCAGUUUGGGAUUGUAGUGUUGGAUACCUGCCCAACAGCUCCUUUUUAGAUGGAAAUGGGGUAAUUGUGUGAGGUUCUGGGAGACACAAGAGGGUGAAGGUGGUAGAGUUCUACCUACCACUCAGGUAUGUUGUUGUUAUCAACAGUGUUGUUUGCUGCUGUUGUCUUUCUUGAUGUUACAUGCCAGGUGCUUAAUGUUGUGUACCAUGCAGUUGCUUAGCUCGAAAGUUCAUUUCCCUGUUUUGACAUGCAGAGUUCAGUGAAAUAGUGGUUAGCACUUUUGCCUUGCAGCAACAAGAUCUCCGGUUAAAAUCCCGGCCUGGGCCUGGGAUCUUUCUGCAUGGAGUUUGCAUGUUCUCCCUGUGCAUGCGUGGGUUUUCUCCGGGUACUCCGACUUCCUCCCACAGUCCAAAAUAUACGCUGAGGUUAAUUGGUUACUCUAAAUUGCCUGUAGGUGUGAGUGUGAUUGUUUGUGUGUAUAUGUAGCCCAGGGUGUCCCCUGCCUUCGCCCAAGUCAGCUGAGAUAGGAUCCAGCACCCCCCGUGACCCUACUGAGGUUAAAGCGGUGUAUAGAGAAUGGAUGGAUGGACAUGCAGAGUUGUUGUAGCACAGUGCAGUAGGGAUGUCGUGGCUGUUUCCUGGAAUGUUAGAGGCCUCGGCCACAUUGUUAAGAGACAAGGUUUUCAGACAUCUUAAAUCUCUCUCUGCUGAUGUUUUUUUUUUUUUUUACAAGAAACUCACAUCCAACCACCUGAGCAACCCGGACUGAGAUGCAACUGAGUAUCAAUCGUCAUUCACGUCUCAUGCUCAAGGAGUAGCUAUUCUCUUUGAUAAAAACCCAUUCCAACUCUCCUCCUUGACUGAAGACCCUCACGACAGAUACCUAAUGGUUUCAGGUACCAUAAAUUCAUUCCCACUAAGACUUCUUAUAUCUACUGUCCAAACAUAGAUGACCCCAGUUUUUUUCAGCAAAGUUUUUGAUAUACUCCCAGACGGGGAAAACGCAAACAUUAUAAUUGACAGUGAUUUGAACUGCUACCUAGAACUCUAUCUGGACAGAUUAUCCUCCUGUCUACCUCCAAAUAUAACAUCUGUACAUGUUACGAUUCACAAGGAGACUUGGGUGCAGGGAAUGAAAAACGACAACCACUGAAGCAGUUUAAAGGAUUUAUUGACAAAAUGUCAGGACAUGAAUACAUGAACUACAAAGAUGGCUACCAGAAUACAACACAAUUGACCUAUAGAUAAGGUAUAGUGAGAAUGACAGAAGACAGACCCCCUACUGUUACACGUUGAACAAAGUGCUACUAUUGAGUAUGUUUUGACCAGAUGGGUACUUUUUUUAAAAUAAAAAAUAUUGUCAGCAUGCUCUGAAAUGACGGGCUAGGAUGUGGAUGACUGAACGUGCUUUUAUUGUCUGAGUGACUAGUUUUGACAAUGUGGUCUCAGUUUAUUCCAACGCAUUUUUACAAAUAAAGCUAAUAUUAGGCUGCAUGCUAUUAUGAUGGAAGGCUGCAAGGUCUGAAUGUUUCUGUGAACAAACCUGAGUUAAACCUGAAGUUCUGCUCUGGAUCUGUUCCACUGAAUACACAGACUAACACACAACAAAACAGUGGAAGUGCUUCUAUGUUGUGGGUUUUCUUGGUGAGACAGUACAUUGUUUUGUGGCUCGUUAUUAACAAGGCAGCCUGGGUUAAAGUUGUGACUAUCCCCAGUUGACAUGGGCGUGAUUCCUAAACAAUCACCAGAUGUUCAACACCUGACAGAAUGACAGUGAUAUAUGUGUAUGAAGCGGGAUGUUCAUUGGACUGAUCAGUGGCAUGAUGAGUAAUAAGACCGUGGUCUCCUAGUUGUACCGCUGGAUGACGUUGUUUCGAAUGAUCUCACCAUAGCUAUUGAAAAAUAUGCUUUUUUUAUUUUGGCCCGCACAUUUCUUUUUGCUGUCAGUAGAUAUUUACAUAGAUAUAGACUUUAUUAAGUAGUUAUGCCGACGUUUCUCAGCGAGGUCUUCUUUAUCUGGUAUCUUUAUUUCACGCACAGCCAGGUUUGAUCGUGACAUAUCUGUGGACGAAACAUCUGGAGGCGGCAGCUAUUGCCAGUUUAACCAGACCAUCAGUUAAACUUUAACAUGGGCAAUGCAAACUACAAUAGCCUACCUAUAUAAGAGAACUCUAAAUUUACCGAAGGCCAGUGCAGGUGGGGAAGAAUUCAGGCGACGACUGGGUUUGAUACCAAAAAUGGCGGCAAGAUGAAUGCUCAGAGGAGCAGUGUUGUUUUUUUUUAACUCUUCAAACCUAACAGUUUAUUUCGUUCUUAAUACGGUGAACAAAAACGUUAAUUGUGCCUACUCAAUUUUUUUUUUUGCUCAACCGCAACUCUUUUAACGCUAACGAAUUAAAAUGAUUAAAGCUGAGAAGAGACAGAAUCAACCAGCUACCAGACCUGCUAAUGUUAGCCUAAUGGCGAAGCCUUUUUUUUUAACCUUUAUUGAAAAUAAGAACAAUACACUAAACAAUACAACAGACAAUACGAUGGAAAACGAUACAAAGAAACAAAAACACAUGCAAGCCCUUCAUUCGCAACAUCACUGACAACAUCCCUCCCCUCCCAUCCCCCACGCACAAUAUUUAGGUUGCAAUAUCAAUACAGACAACAUAUAACAAUUCAAUACCAUUUGUAACAAUGCUGAACAUAAACAAUAAAUCACAGAGUCAUAUUAGGACAGUAUCUUUCAAAGAGCUCCUGGGUUUUAGCAGCUUUUUUAUGGUGAACCUGUCUAAUCACAUUCACAUAUUGUUUUACUUCAUUAUAGAAUUUAUUCCAAUUUGGUUUCUCUUCAGCCCAUUUAACUUUAUGAAUAUGAUAUUUCCCUAAAGUGACAAUCAAUUGUAUAAAAGUUGCCAAAUCUUUAUUGACUACUUUUAUAACAUUAAAUAAGAUGUCCUUCUCCCGGAGGCAGAUUGUUCACCCAGAUAUAUCUGAUAGGAAUUGUUGUAUUUUAGUCCAGAAUAUCUUACUGUGCCCACACAGAAAAAACAUAUGUGGAAUAGUCUCUAUCUCACGAUCACAAAACUACAGUUAUAAUUGAUAUCUAAUUUAAACGUUUGUACUGUUUUUAGCAGGAUAAAUAUUGUUAUAUUAUCAUUUUAUAAGUAUUUUAUAAGUAACUUCUUUAAUUUUAUUGUUUAUAAACUUCUCGUCGACCAGCCACACCCUGUCCCAGUCAAUCUUACUGUACAAGGAGUUCCAGUGAGACACAGCUGCAGCUCUUGUUUUUGGUUGUAUGAGAUUUCUAACAAAUUUGUUUGAGCAUUUUCCCCUUAUCACAUCUAUUUGUUCAAUAAAUAAUUGUUUUCCUAUU